CUACGGGGUGCUGCAGUGGGGAAUAUUGGACAAUGGGGGCAACCCUGAUGCAGCAACGCCGCGUGGAGGAUGACGCAUUUCGGUGUGUAAACUCCUUUUAUAUGUCAAGAAAAUGACGGUAGCAUAUGAAUAAGCACCGGCUAACUCCGUGCCAGCAGCCGCGGUAAUACGGAGGGCGCAAGCGUUACUCGGAAUCACUGGGCGUAAAGGACGCGUAGGCGGGUUGGAAAGUCAGGUGUGAAAUCCUACAGCUUAACUGUAGAACUGCACUUGAAACUUCUAAUCUAGAGUAUGGGAGGGGGAGAUGGAAUUAGUGGUGUAGGGGUAAAAUCCGUAGAUAUCACUAGGAAUACCUAAAGCGAAGGCGAUCUCCUGGAACAUUACUGACGCUAAGGCGUGAAAGCGUGGGGAGCAAACAGGAUUAGAUACCCUAGUAGUC
rnacentral:rRNA from 1 species